GACGAACGCUGGCGGCGUGCUUAACACAUGCAAGUCGAACGGAAAGGCCCUGCUUUUGUGGGGUGCUCGAGUGGCGAACGGGUGAGUAACACGUGAGUAACCUGCCCUUGACUUUGGGAUAACUUCAGGAAACUGGGGCUAAUACCGGAUAGGAGCUCCUGCUGCAUGGUGGGGGUUGGAAAGUUUCGGCGGUUGGGGAUGGACUCGCGGCUUAUCAGCUUGUUGGUGGAGUAGUGGCUUACCAAGGCUUUGACGGGUAGCCGGCCUGAGAGGGUGACCGGCCACAGUGGGACUGAGAUACGGCCCAGACUCCUACGGGAGGCAGCAGUGGGGAAUAUUGCACAAUGGGCGGAAGCCUGAUGCAGCAACGCCGCGUGCGGGAUGACGGCCUUCGGGUUGGAAACCGCUUUCGCUCAUGACGAAGCUUUGUGUGACGGUAGUGGGUAAAGAAGCACCGGCUAACUACGUG
rnacentral:rRNA from 1 species